AUUGAACGCUGGCGGCAGGCCUAACACAUGCAAGUCGAGCGGUAACACAGGGAGCUUGCUCCUGGGUGACGAGCGGCGGACGGGUGAGUAAUGUCUGGGAAACUGCCUGAUGGAGGGGGAUAACUACUGGAAACGGUAGCUAAUACCGCAUAACGUCGCAAGACCAAAGAGGGGGACCUUCGGGCCUCUUGCCAUCAGAUGUGCCCAGAUGGGAUUAGCUAGUAGGUGGGGUAACGGCUCACCUAGGCGACGAUCCCUAGCUGGUCUGAGAGGAUAGCCAGCCACACUGGAACUGAGACACGGUCCAGACGCCACGGGAGGCAGCAGUGGGGAAUAUUGCACAAUGGGCGCAAGCCUGAUGCAGCCAUGCCGCGUGUAUGAAGAAGGCCUUCGGGUUGUAAAGUACUUUCAGCGGGGAGGAAGGCGUUGAGGUUAAUAACCUCAGCGAUUGACGUUACCCGCAGAAGAAGCACCGGCUAACUCCGUGCCAGCCGCCGCCGUAACAC
rnacentral:rRNA from 1 species